rnacentral:rRNA from 1 species
AGGAUUCUCCUAGUAACGGCGAGUGAACGGAGAUUAGCCCAUCACCGAAGUCUAUUCACGUUUGUGAACAGGACAAUGUGGUGUUCAGGUAUGCGCCUGGGAUCGUUGCCCUGCUCCAAGUCCAACUCCGAUUGCGGCUUUGGAUUGUGUCCAAAGCGGGUGAAAGACCCGUUCGGGCAGGUUUAUUUGUUUAUAUUAACGAUUCCCUGAUGCGUAUUCCUUCGAGUCGGAUUGCUUGAGAAUGCAGUCCAAAGUGGGUGGUAAACUCCAUCCAAGGCUAAAUACUGGCACGAGUCCGAUAGUAGACAAGUACCGUGAGGGAAAGUUGAAAAGUACUCUGAAGAGAGAGUAAAUAGUACGUGAAACCGCUUGCAGAGAAUCAGUUGGAGUCAAGCUUCAUGCUUGAAGGAUUAGUAUCCGAUUCAUAUUGUGUCAGGAUAUGGGGCCCGGCAACUUGGAAUAAGUUGGACGUAUUUUAUGCGUUUCAAGUCUUUCCGGGAAGCUGGAUUGUCCGUGCCCCUAUCUCCUCUAUCGGAUGCCGAAUUCUUCUAUGCAUAAAUCACGGCCGAUAGUGGUCAAGUGCAUUAUGACUUCCUAACAGUGCUUAAGUCAGCUCACGUUGACUGGGUGCUGAAUGGAAGGUGUCGUUAUUAGUUGAUUUUUUCAUCUAAUUACGAUUAUUAUGGUUUCGACCGUCUGGUUGUCAUGAUAAUGCAUCACCGCUAUUGUUAUGUAAAUGUUUGGUAAUUAGCCUAUAGGUUAGUUGCCUAUCAAGACCGUGAUUCUGAGGUAGA